rnacentral:rRNA from 1 species
UACGUAGGGGGCAAGCGUUGUCCGGAUUUACUGGGCGUAAAGAGCGCGCAGGCGGUCGAUCAAGUCGAGUGUGAAAGCCCCCGGCUCAACUGGGGAGGGUCAUUCGAUACUGAUCGACUCGAAGGCAGGAGAGGGUAGUGGAAUUCCUGGUGUAGCGGUGAAAUGCGCAGAUAUCAGGAAGAACACCCGUGGCGAAAGCGGCUCUCUGGAACGGUACUGACGCUGAGACGCGAAAGCGUGGGGAGCGAACAGG